rnacentral:piRNA from 1 species
UAUAAGCUGUACAGAUCCCAC